rnacentral:lncRNA from 1 species
GUCCUUUAACCUUUACACUGGAGUUAAGUGAUUAACACACCACUAUAUUACAGUCUUAGAAUAUUCUGAAUUUGACUAUAUAUAUAUUUACCUUUACCAGUGAGUUUUCUAUUUUCAGAUGCCUUCAUGUUACUAAUUCGUGUCUUUUCAUUUCAGCUUGCUGAGCUCCCUUUAACGUUUCAUGUAAGGCAGGUCUAGCAGUAAUGAACUCCCUCAGUUUUGGCUCAUAUGGGAAAGUCUUUACCUCUCCUUCAUUUCUAAAGGAAAUCUUUGCCAGUUCCAGCCUACAGUUCUGAAAACCAGAAGUCCAAGAUCAGGCUGCCAGCAUGGAGGGGUUCUGUGUUCCCUGUAUCUCCGGGAAUGGCCUCAGCAACCUCCCAGAACUUCUCCUCGACGCCUGUCUCUUCCGCAGCAUCCGUCCAAUGCGGUACCAAGUUCCGUCUAUCCUAUUACCUCAGGACAGACACAUUUGUCAACCGCAAUCAUUUAUUA